UCCCUUGUGGCUCAGCUGGUAAAGAAUCUGCCUGCAAUGCAGGAGACCUAGGUUCAAUCCCUGGAUUGGGAA
rnacentral:tRNA from 1 species